rnacentral:tmRNA from 2 species
GGGGCUGAUUCUGGAUUCGACGGGAUUUGCGAAACCCAAGGUGCAUGCCGAGGGGCGGUUGGCCUCGUAAAAAGCCGCAAAAAAAAUAGUCGCAAACGACGAAACCUACGCUUUAGCAGCUUAAUAACCUGCUUAGAGCCCUCUCUCCCUAGCCUCCGCUCUUAGGACGGGGAUCAAGAGAGGUCAAACCCAAAAGAGAUCGCGCGGAUGCCCUGCCUGGGGUUGAAGCGUUAAAACGAAUCAGGCUAGUCUGGUAGUGGCGUGUCCGUCCGCAGGUGCCAGGCGAAUGUAAAGACUGACUAAGCAUGUAGUACCGAGGAUGUAGGAAUUUCGGACGCGGGUUCAACUCCCGCCAGCUCCACCA